CUUCACUGCUGUUGCUUGUCUUCUCAUGUAUGCUGUGUAGGUAGAGCUGUAGUUUUUUCUUCUGCAUCUUUUCUUCUGUAGAUGUAACCUUUUUUGGACUUUUUUCUCUCUUCCUCAGUACAGUUUCUCAAGAUGUGAGGAAUACUGGAUUACAGUAUAUUCAUACCCUGACAGAAAAUGGGCUAGGAUCCUGCCAGUGCCUGGAACUGAGUAAAGCUACUGCCUGGAAUAUAAUCCUGAGGAAAACCUGAUGUGUGGCUGUAAUCUGCCUGCGCUCCACCUGGCCCAUGGCAACCUCACCUUCCCUGGCAGAGAACCACUGCAGAAGCCCCCUCCUUCGGGGUAUUCCGGGGCUUAAAUGAGUUUCCUCCAGGACUUACUUUCUCUUGCUUGGGCUGCAAGUUGGCUCCAAAUCCCCUUUAUAUAGGGUUUUUGGAUGGGAAGAGGGCUGGCAAAUAUAAUAUGACCCAAUUAAAUAAGAACAUUGAGUGCUCUGGCAAGAAUUUGGUAAGGAGUAAGUUUCCAGGUUCACACAGCUCUGAUUACUGCCACACAGUUGGUGUAUGUGCAAAACAAGAAGGAAAUGUAAGCAAAAGCAAACUGCGGCAGCAGGGUGAUUUUCAUGUAAGCUGAACUUUGCUUUGGUUAUACAAGCAGAUCUUUUGUCGGUGCUCCUGCCCUCUCUCCCUUCCCUCGGAUGUUCGUCUUUGGAUUGCUGUAAACUAGUCUCUGAAAAAGACUUUUUCCAAGUACAAUUAUCCUAAAAUUAACAGGCUGAUAAACACUUUGCUUCAAACUCCUCGGAAUGUAUCUCCUUUGUCAAAGCAGGAAGCUUUGGAAAAUGUCCAAACCUCAAACAGACUAUGAGACACUAGCAGUCUCAGGGAUGCAGCUACAGUGCUUCUCAGAUUGGUGGCUUAAAUCCAUUAGACAUGCUUAGACAUCUGCUUGUUUUAAUAACCCUCUCACCCUUUUUCAUGAGGCUCGAAGUCCAUUAGUAAUGGUCAAAAUGUGGCUUGAGAAACCCAUUCCACAUCUGUUCAAGCCAGACAGCUGAAAGAUGAACGGCAGAUAUGCUCUGUACUCUUUCUAAAGAAAUUAGUUAAGCAAUCCAAACCUAAACGAUCAAGCAUUUUAAAAAUCUCAACCAGCAAUUGGCACUUGCUUGUGUUUUUUCUAUAUACUUGCCUAUGUAGAUGCUGCACUGCCAACACAGGACUCAUUGCCAUGUAGAACUAUUGGUCUCACCUUGCUAAAAGGUGAAGAGGUAUAAUAAAUCAUCAUCUUUUCCAUUCCAGAUCUUCUAAUUGGAGUUUUAUAAGUGCUCCAUCAUUUCUAAUAAACACACGCUUCUGUGGUGAUUAUUUCCAACAGGCUGAGAAGCUGCAUUAAAGUUAGGUCAGACAAAUACUAUGGUGAAUCUUCUUCAACAGAUAUAGCAUAGAGCUGAGUGGUAGUCAAAGUAAAUCAUUGCAAUUAGAAGAUGAUGGGAAAUUUAGUCGGAGUUCUCAAAACUUAGCCAAAACUUACUCUUAUUGAAGAAAGAGACAUAGGAAAAAGCCUGGGGAUAAAACUGACACAGUGAACUUGGAAGGAUAAAUAAACUAACACAGAGAUUAUAAUUUUUUGCAAUUGCUGCAACUUUCAGUGUUUAUCUACCAUUGCAGAAGCAAUGAAUAUUCGUAUGAUGCAUAUUUGGCAAGGUAGACUGUCAAAACACAGUUGCAGAAAUGCACAAAGAAUGUCCAUAAAUAGCAAAUGUGCUUGAUUAAAAAGCUUCAAUUUGAAGGCAGCUGUUGCAAACUUCUAUAAAAUGUAAAGGUUUGUAUGCAUAUAGCACAAUUCACAUGGAUAUAAAUAACUGGGUGAUGUCUCAGAGUCACUGGGGUAAUGGUAGAAGAAUCUAGGUUGGACACAACCUUUGUUAUCUUUGGCUAUGCAGAAUAGGACUAGGAUCCUUCUCCUGUACCAGAUCUUGGUCAGAUGGUUUGGCUGUCAAGCCAGUUCUACAGCUGAUACCUAGCAGAUUUUUGGGGGGCUGGCUUCUUUAGUCAUAGUACUUGAAAAACCUACAGUAGUAAAAUUUAGCUCUGCAUUCAACAUUAUUUUCGUAGAGUCAUAGGAACUUCACAUUCUUUAGAAAUGGUUUUAGAUAAAAUAAGUUAUAUUUUUUUUCUUCUUUGAUAUGAAAUAGUUGAAUUGGAAGCUAUUGGUUUAAAGUUGGAGGUGUGUGGACAUGUAGCAGGGGUUAACAUGUUUGUAAUUAGUCACAUUAGUCACAAAUGGGCCAUUUUUGGGACAAAUACAUCUCUGACUUUGCUCCUGAAUGGCAAGACCUUUUUCAGUUUCCUUUUUAUUGCCAGUGGUAGAGAGUUGGAGCCUGUUACUGAAGAGGAUUGUGCUGGUGGCAAUUCAAUUUACUGACAUACGACAUUACCUUUUCUCCCCCUCCUCCUACUGCAAAACCCUAACAUCUUUCUUCUAUGUCUUCCUUCGAAAUAUAUCUCUGAAUCUUCAAAAAUAUCUUAAUUCUGUACCACUGACAGUGAAAGCAACAUCUGAGUUUUGGUGUGGACACUUGUCUGACUGGUGGCCAGUCAGCUGCCCAGGAACCGUAUUUUCUCUGAUUAGCCAUCCAGCAUCUCCUUUCUGGCCACUGGGUAGAACAAACAGCCCUACUACCUUUUUGCUGCUUUGUAGGUUCAGGAAAGUGUGCAUUGCUUCUCAGCUGCUAACAAACCCAGGUAGCCUUCUGCUGGCUUUUGCUAAUCUUUAGCUAAGUCUUCCUUAAAAGACGGUUAUCAUUGUUCCACACUAAAGGUAGGCAAAGAAUAAAAUUCAUUAGCUCAGUGUGUUACCUCCCUCUCAAUGAUCAGAUCUUAUAUAGAUCAUAUUAUUGUGGCAGAAUCUUUAUUUCUGGUUUUCUUGUCUUGACUUAAUUCCACUAAGAACAGAUACAAAUGAUGCUACUUCACUUUAGAAGAGACCUGUAUUCUAGGUAUGAUUUGGUCUGCUUGUUGUGUCAUCAGUUUCAUCUCUCUCAGCUUCCAGAAGUUGAACCUAUUCUACCUCUGUAACCCCUUGAAGCCCACUAGGAUUAGCUUUGGUCUUUGGAAAGACCUAAUGGUAUGCUGUUCAAUAAUAGCAUAUUCUUCUGUCUUGGUACUGCCUGUAUACAAGGUCUACUUUCUCCCUUUGUGACUGUAUCAGCUGCUCCUGUUCCUCUUGAGAAGAGAACCCAUACAGAAGAGAGAUCUGGGCGCUGAUCUCUGCAGUAUUUGAGGAACAGAAAAAAGCUUCACUUCUGAUAGCAUUCUUGGCCAAGAAUACAAGCAGGUAGUUUUUCUUGGGACAUCCACCUGCCUGGAUUUGGUCUCUUUCUUCUUCUUCUUCUUCUUCUUCUUUCUGCUAUUAAGGUCUGAGAUGAAAAAGAAGAGAAGUAACAACAGAUAGGACAAGAAGGGUUCAGCCCAUUUGAUAUAUUUGGUUUACUUGCUGCAUCCCUGAGGGCAAAACCUUUGAAGCUCGUCAUCAGGAAUACUGAGGCUGCUGAAAUCCAAGACAUCUUCAAAGCCACAAUCUUCAACGGUGGCUUGUAAGGCUGUGUUACUGUAUUGGCUGUGCCAUUCACCAUGAGUAGUGAUGGACUGCUCUAAAGAAAUCUGAAAUUAUUCACUGGGCAGACAAACUCCUUGAUGGACUCUAAGACCAACUCGCACUUAUUAGGAAUCUACAUCUGUACUGAAUAACAUAAUUUCAUUGCAAUAGAACUGUUUAAACUGAUCUAUCUUGAAAGUAGGAAUGGAAGAAGAAGAAGGGAUAAUGAUCUGAUUUCAGCACUUCUAAAACAUCUGGCCUGCAGGAUAGCUCCCACCUACAAAUGCUCAUACCGGUUCAGAACACAAGUCUGUGUAGCCUGAGAUUCUGCCUCUGCUGGUCACUGGCAGUAGGUGCUUAGGGAAAGCUUAAAGGUCAGCGUGAAUAGAAUAAUGCUCCCUGGUAUAGCCUGCCAGCUAUUCAUGCUGGGGUUUAAGGUAUCUUGAUGCUGAAGGCUGCAUCUGUACCUUUGUGUUCAA